AACCCGGUGAUCUAGCCAUGGGCAGGUUGAAGGUUGGGUAACACUAACUGGAGGACCGAACCGACUAAUGUUGAAAAAUUAGCGGAUGACUUGUGGCUGGGGGUGAAAGGCCAAUCAAACCGGGAGAUAGCUGGUUCUCCCCGAAAGCUAUUUAGGUAGCGCCUCGUGAAUUCAUCUCCGGGGGUAGAGCACUGUUUCGGCAAGGGGGUCAUCCCGACUUACCAACCCGAUGCAAACUGCGAAUACCGGAGAAUGUUAUCACGGGAGACACACGGCGGGUGCUAACGUCCGUCGUGAAGAGGGAAACAACCCAGACCGCCAGCUAAGGUCCCAAAGUCAUGGUUAAGUGGGAAACGAUGUGGGAAGGCCCAGACAGCCAGGAUGUUGGCUUAGAAGCAGCCAUCAUUUAAAGAAAGCGUAAUAGCUCACUGGUCGAGUCGGCCUGCGCGGAAGAUGUAACGGGGCUAAACCAUGCACCGAAGCUGCGGCAGCGACGCUGAUGCGUUGUUGGGUAGGGGAGCGUUCUGUAAGCCUGCGAAGGUGUGCUGUGAGGCAUGCUGGAGGUAUCAGAAGUGCGAAUGCUGACAUAAGUAACGAUAAAGCGGGUGAAAAGCCCGCUCGCCGGAAGACCAAGGGUUCCUGUCCAACGUUAAUCGGGGCAGGGUGAGUCGACCCCUAAGGCGAGGCCGAAAGGCGUAGUCGAUGGGAAACAGGUUAAUAUUCCUGUACUUGGUGUUACUGCGAAGGGGGGACGGAGAAGGCUAUGUUGGCCGGGCGACGGUUGUCCCGGUUUAAGCGUGUAGGCUGGUUUUCCAGGCAAAUCCGGAAAAUCAAGGCUGAGGCGUGAUGACGAGGCACUACGGUGCUGAAGCAACAAAUGCCCUGCUUCCAGGAAAAGCCUCUAAGCAUCAGGUAACAUCAAAUCGUACCCCAAACCGACACAGGUGGUCAGGUAGAGAAUACCAAGGCGCUUGAGAGAACUCGGGUGAAGGAACUAGGCAAAAUGGUGCCGUAACUUCGGGAGAAGG
rnacentral:rRNA from 1 species